AAUCUUCAUGCAGCCUCUCCCUUGUGUUUCUCCUCUGUGUCCCUUAUGAGGACCCUGUCUCUGGACUUAGGGCCCACCCUAACCUGGGAUGGCCUCGUCUUGAUUCCUGACCUUAAUUACAUCUGCAAAGAUGCUUGUUCCAAAUAAGGCCACAUUCUGAGGUUCCAGGUGGACAUAUCUUCUGGGAGACCAACUAUUCAACCCACUACUGAUAGCAACAAGUCCUGUUCAGAGAGGGGUUUCUCACUGGAUUUAAUUCUAAUUAAUUUAAAUCAGAGGACCAUAAGUGGCUGUCACAUGGGGCAACAUAGUUCUAGAAGAUGUGCUAAGCUACAGAAUAUUUGUCCUGAAAGGGACCUAGCAUGGACCAAAUACAAUCCCUUGAUUAACAGAUGCAGGGUCUGAGGCCCGGCGACGUUUACUGCCUCCUCCCAAAGUCCAGCAGCCCUCAUGCUGCCUUUUGAACCAGAACCCAGACCAGUGACAGCGCUUUGCACCUUGUUUUAUACCUGGGAUGUUUGUGCUUAAGGGUUGAAAGCACAUAGAAGUAGACUGAGUCCAAAGGCAAUAGCAGGGGUGUGUUGUAUUGGUUCCUGCAAGGGGAAGUUGGGUUUGUUUCUGGUUUGGGGUUUUUUGGCACAUACGUUCUCUUAAAAAUUAUAAUGAAUCAAGCCCCCCACAGAAGUUCACCACCUCGGGCGCAGAGCCAGGGAGGCCCGUGACGACACGGUGUCCUCACAGGCCCAGGGAGGGCUCGUGACUCCACGAUUGGUGCCCCUUCUGCCCAAGCCUGGUGAACUGGCUGCCUUCUUGCCGUCACUGAAGUGUCCUGCUAGCAUCAGUUAGGCUUGCUGCUCGGUGCCCCCUGCCCUCACCAUCCACUACCGUGGACGCAGGAAACGCUUAUUCAUACAUGGACACCAAUGUGUUCUCUCUUUUCUCAGGAUGCUGUUUGCUGACCGGCAUCGCCGGCCUGGCCCUGAGGCUGCUCACUGAGAAGCCGUGCCAGGGGCUGAGACAGGCUGCUGGGACCAAGCCUGCAGGGCCAAGAAGGAGUGGAUGUCCCUUUGCAGGUGGUGAUGAGCAAAAGCAGGGGCGGCCUCAUUUAUGGAAGGAAUGUUCGUGUUCUUGGAAAAGAAUGUGAAUCUGAUUUUGCAAAUGUUUAAGCUGUACAAGUUCUCUGUGUUUAAUAUAUAAGAGUUCUGAGUGUUCAGAGGAGAGUUCUGAGUGUUUACUAUAUAAAGGAGUUCUGUGAUAAUCUACUUA